GCCUGGGUGGCUCAGCCAGUUGAGUAUCUGACUUCCGCUCAGGUCAUGGUCUUGCGGUUGGUGGGUUCGAGCCCCACACCGGGCU
rnacentral:tRNA from 1 species